ensembl:lncRNA
AUGGGGCUAAUUUCUUGUGGUAAUGAUUUUAUAACGUUGGAAAUGUGUGAACCCUGUGCAAAUCUUCUGCACCAUACAGAUGAGCAGAUACUAAAGUACUGAAAUACCGUAUAAAAAGCGUUCAAAUUUAAGAAAAAUUGCUGAAGUGAAACAUGAACGUCAAAAUUAGCUACAAAAACUAUCAGUAGGACAUCCACUGAUUUGCUUAGCGGACCCAAAAUGCACGUUUAGUCUGAAGACCAGAAAAAGACCCAAUUUGACUUUAGAACCGAGUCCGUGUUCACCUGCAGUCCGGUCAGUUGGUGGAGACAUGAGAGCCGGAGGACUCAGUGUGGUGCCAAGCAUUGCCUUACAUUGUUGUCUUAACUCUAGAGCCUGAACGGUUGACUAGCCAAACCCAGAGCCCUACAGGACGUCCUGUGUACGGCUCUGGUUUAUAUCAAACCAAUCAGCAGUCUGCGGGGGCGUGUCUACAACUCUGUCUCCUAGCAACCCCUCACCAUCCACCCAUCAUGGGGAACUUUAAUAAUUAGAAUGUAAAAUAUGCGAAAAUUACAUACAUUUGCACAUUGCUGUAAAAAAAGAAAUAAUGUUGCUAGCACUUUUAAAAAAAGAAUCGUGUUAGAAAUCGCGUUUUGUUUUACAUAUUGUAAGAUGAAUCAGAGAUUUAUUUUAUGGAGGCUUUUAUUUUGCUGAUACAUACAAUAUGACAAAUAUAUAUAUAUUGAAUAUCUUUGUGUGUUAUCUAUAUUUGAUGCAGUAUAUAAUUGCGAUAAUGAUGAUGAUGAUGAUAAAGAUUUCUGGCUGAUUGUUCACGUUUAGCUGGCGAACACAAGCAAAGCGGUGCCUCGAGCUUUAGGCUACCUCACUCCUCAUUCAAACUUUCAAAGCAAAUUUCUUUUAGCUUUUUAUGCAAAGGUUUGUCAGCAGUACCGGCCGGUAGCAGGAGGGGAUUGUGGGAAGUUUCUCCAACGCCAAUAAAAACAAAAAGUCAUGCUUUAAAACAACUUAAACUGGGGACUUUUAGGUUGAAUUUUUAAAAAUUUAAUGUUGCUGAUACACACUGAUGCUGCGAGGCCUUUACACAGGUGUCUGACUAGCUAACGUGAACAACCAGUGUAGGGCGGGGCUAUUAUUCUGGCGGGUUUGCUGCGAUGCAGUGAUAUGAAGAAUGUCGAGGUUUCGUGUGGCUCUGAGCAAACUUCGAAAGGGAAUCUGUUGGGUUCUCUCUUUUACUUUUACUGACUUGUAAUGUUCAAAGUGCUCAAGUGUUUGAAGAGUUUUAGCUUUAGAUUAUUUUUAUUUGUGUUUUAAUCAAUAUCAGUGUUCUCCCAAUGACCCCCCCACGGCUCUCACGUCAUUACCUGAGUUUGAUAGAAAAGUAUGACAAACAAUCCUUUAAAGUCAAUUUGCUGAUAAUUGCUGACUGUAACUGCCAUUUGAAAUAAUUAGUAAGCUCCUGCCACUCACUAUCUCAGUAUAGUGAGGUAGUCAGACCUGGAGUGACAGUGCCAACAUGCGUGCAGCUGAAAAGAAAAACAAAAAAAACACUAAGAUACUCCACCGGUUAGUUUAAGACACUAAUUACAGCCAGAUACCCGAGAACUUAAAGAACAGCAUUAGCAGAAUCAGCGCGGACCAAAACGGACACGAAUCUGGUUUCUGUAUUUAAUCUGUGGCUUAAAGCCCUGUUCAGUCAGGAUGGAUGGAGGUUUUUAAUCCAGUCAAACAAAUGAGUUGGAUGAAAUGGUUAAGUUCAAAAACCUGCAUCCUUUACAACAAUGAUAAAAGUCGCCCUCCAUCAUGUUUGGUUUAUGCAAAGUAAGAAGUCAACACAGCAUAAUGGACACAAACAAGACAAACUCAGUCAUUUUCAGACCACAAAUGGAAACCUAAUACCUAAGUCGUCAGCUCGAAAAUACUUCAAUACAAACCCUUCUUUCAGUUAUUGUACACAACUAAUUCAAUAACGGAUCAGAGACAAAGUUUCUCAUUUUUAAAAUAUACAGACAACUCACUAAGUUAUCAGUAACUAAUGUCACUGAUAGCUGCUAUUUCAUUAAUAAAACUAAACCUACAGCAAUAACCAAUCAAACUCACAGUUUAAUGUUCAAUGUUUGAGUUUUUAAAAAGUUGUAUUGUAGUGUUCUCGUCUUGUUUCUGGACUGGAGCCUGGGUGGGUCAGAGUGUGAAAAAACAAAAAGAAUCUACAGCCAUUUAAGAAAAUGAACAUGUAUGUUACAAAAUCAAUGUUGUUUCAUGUCAGUUUGUGUGUGUGUGCUCUUCUGCCAAAACACAUGUUGUGACAGAGUCAUUAAUCCAAAACUGUGACCGGAGACGGCCAGGCUGGAUGCUGUAAAGCACACCUGCACAGGUGCAGGAAGGUGGCUCUUUUUGGUUUUCCUCACUCAGGCUGGAGUGAGUGAUGUCACAGAUGGUGGUGUGAACUGAACAUGCUAUGCAAACGGUUGUGCUUCAGCCUGCGUUUUCUGGACGAACAAUCAGACAUUCAGACAACAAAAAUGACCCAAAGCACCAUUUGGAUUCCCACAGUAAGAAAUGUUCUGGUCUCAUUUGGACUGAAGCCACACUUUACUAUUUUUUUUUAAUAAACAAUAACUGAUGUAACUGACCUUUUACAUAUCAAACUUUUUAAUGCCUGCAUUGCCUAUUAUUCGUUUUCAGACAAGUAUUUAAAACAAACAAACAAACUGAUUUUUAAAGAGUAAGAACUAAAAUAAAGUAAAAAGUAAGUUAAUGUCAGGCAUCGAUGUGUUGUGCUGAGAAUGUGAAUAUCUUUAGCAAAUUACUUUUAUGCAGCAUUUUGAAAUGCACAUCCAGAAUAUAUCCACAAUUCAACUUUUUGAGAUCUUUUUUUGUGUGGAAAAUUUAAAUGCUAAUUUGCUGUUGUAAAAAUUAAAUCAGAAAUGUAGCAUUAAGGACAACAGAAAUCACACCUGAAACAGAGCAGAAAAGGCUUUUAUGUUUAGUUUUUAAGUUUUAUAUUUUAAUUCAAUAAAGUUAAAACGUUGCUUUUAAAAUCUUAUGAAAUAGAACAGAACAGAUGCUUUUUAAUUUAAAUUUAAAAAAUCCCUGAACUUGUCCAUGUUGCUCUGACUGUCCGAUUAUUCACUUCAGGUUUUUGAUAAAUGACACUUCGGUCAGCUGGUUUCCUUCAGUGGAGAGCGUUUAUUUCCCAGAAUCCUCCUGUUGUUCUCAGACACCAUGUAAAGUAGAGAAAACUCACAGCAGAGAUGUUAGCAGAAUGUUUAGCGGUUAUUUUACAGCCGAUAAGUUGCCAAAAUAUUUAACGUCCAAAUAACCCAGAGCUACGGAAGCCUAAAAGGGAACAUGCAAAGAAACGAGAUGAUGCAUUAAGGUUUCGUUUCGUGACACAACAGGAAGGUUUUCUGGGAAAAGCAAAUAACUGGUGCUGCAGAAAAACAACCAAAAAUAUCACUGUGUGAAAUAUUCUUUUGGGAAGCUGACCUCAGGUGGGAUUGUUGCAGCAGUGGAACCAGCAGGAGGCACGCUCCUCCCCUGGGAAAUGUCAUCAAGUUUGGGUUGGAAACAGAGACAGAGACCCCUGACAAUUAAAACCUGCUGAAAUCAAUUAAGGGUUCAAUAAAAACACUGAAGUGUACACAAGAUCAAGCUAAAAUAAUUGGAAGCCAAGUGAGCGAAAUGACUCUCUCAGUAGCUUCCACUGAAGGCAAAGUACAAAACCAAACCAUCCAAUCACAGUCACCUCAUUAAUUGAACCUAUUCACUGUAACACAGCGGUCCCCAACCCCCGGGCCUCGGACCGGUACCGGUCCAUGAGUUGUUUGGUACCGGGCCGCGAGAGUUGAGGCUCAGGUGUGAAAUGUAUGGUUUUCAGGGUUUUUAUCGGUUUUCAGCAUUAUUUUGUUAUCGUUUUUAUCGUUAACUCGGUUUUCCUGGGUCUUUUCACGUGUGUUAUGAAUAAAUCUUUUUUUCGGUACCGGCACUAGUUUUAUUUUGUUGUAUUUAUCCGCGACACCUUAUUUCCGGUCCGUGAAAAUAUUGUCGGGCAUAAACCGGUCCGUGAGGCAAAAAAGGUUGGGGACCGCUGCUGUAACAGAUGGAAAUAUUCUGAGUGAACGUGUACACGCAACAGAUAGGAAAGAUUUCAGCUCAUCUUUUUAGGUUUUAGUUUUCCAAAUGCCAACAGGUCCUGCCUCUGUCCCAGCUCAAACACAGCUACAUGGUGCCCUCAGUGUUGUAACUGUGUCUUUGUGAUUUGUGUGAACCACAGUCUUCCAUCCAUAACUGUAGAGUAGACUCUCGAUUAAGUAGCUUAACGAAGUAACUAGUAGUCGUACUAAUGAUAAUAAUAACGUAACUCGGGGGCUUCAUGUUAACAAGUCACCAGCCAAAAAUUUUGCAGAGUCAAUGUUAAAGAGUUAACUUUGAGCCCUGACGGUGUCACCUGUGUUUCAUCGACCUUUGACCCCUGCGAGGGUCUCCAUGCUGCAAGCUGCUGUGAUCACUGUGCUCAUUCACCACCCAGUAAACUAACAGCAAUAAAACUAAUGUCACAACAAACA